GUCUGUGUGACUGUGUGACUGCUAACUAGCAGAGCAAGUGGUGGGCAUUUAAUUUAUUUGCUGUUGUUUAAAUUUGAUUUGGCCAUAUUGAUAACAAAUCGGUGGUGGUGUUGCAUUAACGACGACAACAACGAUAUCAUCACCAACAAUUGCAACAAAACCAAAACCAAACAAUAAAAUUGCAAAACACAAACAAACAAAUAAUAUUUAUUUAUUGUUGUCGUUAAAUUUCAAUGAGCGUUUCGAUGUCACUCGUACAAGGUGGAGCUGCAGGCGGUGCACCACAAGGUGCUAUACUAGCGGCUGCCGCCCCAUAUUAUCAGCCACCAGCAGUACCACAAGAUGUUCAACCAGAUCGUCCCAUUGGCUAUGGAGCAUUUGGUGUAGUAUGGGCUGUAACAGAUCCACGUGAUGGACGUCGUGUAGCACUGAAAAAACUUCCAAAUGUCUUUCAAUCGUUGGUUUCAUCAAAACGUGUUUUCCGUGAAUUGAAAAUGUUGUGUUUUUUUAAACAUGAAAAUGUGCUUUCAGCAUUGGACAUACUACAGCCACCUCAUUUGGAUUUCUUCCAAGAAAUAUAUGUGAUAACAGAACUUCUUCAAUCAGAUCUCCAUAAAAUAAUCGUUUCACCGCAACACUUAUCUGCCGAUCACAUAAAAGUGUUCCUCUAUCAAAUACUCCGUGGUCUCAAAUAUCUACAUUCGGCCCGUAUACUGCAUCGUGACAUCAAACCGGGCAAUCUGCUGGUCAACUCGAACUGUGUAUUGAAAAUAUGCGAUUUCGGUUUGGCUCGCGUCGAGGAGCCCGAUCAAACGAAACACAUGACCCAGGAGGUGGUCACACAAUACUAUCGGGCACCCGAAAUUCUAAUGGGCGCCCGACACUAUUCGUCGGCGGUUGAUGUUUGGUCGGUGGGCUGUAUAUUUGGUGAAUUGUUAGGACGUCGUAUACUGUUUCAAGCACAAAAUCCAGUACAACAAUUAGAUCUCAUCACAGAUUUGUUGGGUACACCCUCAAUGGAGGAUAUGCGUCAUGCCUGUGGUGGGGCACGUUCGCAUAUGUUGAGGCGUGCACCGAAAUUACCCUCAUUCUCAGCUCUCUACACAUUAAGUUCACAUGCCACGCAUGAAGCGGUGCAUUUACUAUGUCAAAUGUUGGUAUUUGAUCCUGACAAGCGCAUUUCUGUAUCAGAUGCUUUAGCCCACCCCUAUUUGGAUGAGGGUCGUUUGCGUUAUCAUUCUUGUAUGUGCAAAUGUUGUUUUACCACACCGGGUGGUAUGCGUCAAUAUACAAAUGAUUUUGAGCCAUCGGCCGGUCAAGCAUUUGAUGAUUUGUGGGAACGUAAAUUGACAUCAGUGCAGCAGGUUAAAGAGGAAAUGCAUAAAUUUAUUGCCGAACAAUUACAGACUGGUCGUGUACCUUUAUGCAUAAAUCCCCAAAGUGCAGCAUUCAAAAGUUUUGCUAGCCAGUAAACAAAAAUGAGAUAAACUAGAAUUUCUACUACAACAAACACUGCUGCUAAACCGCCCUCUUUUUACAUUUAAAUGAACUCGAAAAAAAAGAAUGCAACAAAAACAUUGUGCAACAACAAACUCAAAUCUGCAACAAAAUAAAAUAGAGAAAAUGAAGUAAUAUAAAUGAAAAAAAAUAAAACUGAAAAUAAAAGAAAGCGGAGAGAGAGAAAAAGAGACAAAGAUUUCAAUACAUAUAUGCAUUUAACAGUUUAAAACCGAAAAAAAGACAAAAAAAAAGUGAAUAAAAACAAUUUUUACCCAGCCUUAAAGUAUGCAAUAAUAAUUGCAAAUGUUCAGCACUUGAAAUUAUGCAACGAAUAACGCAAAAAACAUGUUUUACAAAAACAUAAAGCAGUGAUAGUAUGUAAUUGUAUUUGUAACUGUAAUGCAUGUAAAUCAAACAACCAACCAACCAACCGUACAACAAAUACUCCUACAACAAAACAACAACAACAAUGUGUAUAAUAACAACAACAAUAUCAAGCUUACAUUCAAACAUACACACAAAUACAUAUCUACAUGUAUGUGUAUGUGUAUAAUAGUUAUUUUACAAUCAUUUUUUGUUGCUGUUGUCAGCAUUUUGCAAUAUUUGCCCGUUGUGCUGUAUUAUCAUCAAUAUUUUUUAACCAAAUAAUAGUUCAACAGUAGCACAUCCUUCCGAAUUGCCACCAUCGCCCCAUCAAUGGGAAUGACGGCAAAAUGAGGCCAUAGCCGCCUAAAAUAUUAACAAUAGCAACAACAAUAACACUAACAGCAACAACAACAGCAGCAAAUAUUGAAACCUGAAUAAAAGCAGCAACAACUACAAAUACUAUUAUUACAGCAAGCAAAUAAAUAAAAUAUUGAAAACAAAAAAAACAGAAACUCAAACUGUUUUUACAGCAAAAUGACUAAAGCGAAAACUGCAAAGAAAAACUUCAACUACUGAAACAAAAAAGUAUGCAACGAUUUAUUUUUAAGUUAUUUUUUAAAAAUUUCAAAGCAUAAUUGCAAAUUACAACAAAAAACAAAA